rnacentral:rRNA from 1 species
AUACGAAGGGUGCAAGCGUUAAUCGGAAUUACUGGGCGUAAAGCGCGCGUAGGUGGUUCAGCAAGUUGGAUGUGAAAGCCCCCGGGCUCAACCUGGGAACUGCAUCCAAAACUACUGAGCUAGAGUACGGUAGAGGGUGGUGGAAUUUCCUGUGUAGCGGUGAAAUGCGUAGAUAUAGGAAGGAACACCAGUGGCGAAGGCGACUAUCUGGAUAGAUACUGACACUGAGACACGAAAGCGUGGGGAGC